rnacentral:tRNA from 1 species
GCCCAGGUGGCGGAAUGGUAGACGCGCACGUUUCAGGUGCGUGUGUUGAGAGGCAUGCAGGUUCGAGUCCUGUUCUGGGCACUA